GAUUUAAGAAGAAAGGCUAAAUUCGCGCUGUCCUGGCGCAGCGCCUUUCUGACCACCAUCCUGUUCG
rfam:Virgibacillus soli strain PL205 scaffold000104, whole genome shotgun sequence.